rnacentral:rRNA from 1 species
UACGUAGGGUGCAAGCGUUAAUCGGAAUUACUGGGCGUAAAGCGUGCGCAGGCGGUUUUUGUAAGUCAGAUGUGAAAUCCCCCGGGCUUAACCUGGGAACUGCGUUUGAAACUACAAGGCUAGAGUGUGGCAGAGGGGGGUGGAAUUCCACGUGUAGCAGUGAAAUGCGUAGAGAUGUGGAGGAACACCGAUGGCGAAGGCAGCCCCCUGGGUUAACACUGACGCUCAGGCACGAAAGCGUGGGGAGCAAACAGG